rnacentral:rRNA from 1 species
UUCCGGUUGAUCCUGCCGGACCCGACUGCUAUUUGGGUGAGGAUAAGCCAUGCGAGUCGAAUGGGAUGCCCAAAAUUCCCAUGGCAAACUGCUCAGUAACACAUGAUCAACUUACCCUAUAGAGAAAAAUAACCUCGGGAAACUGAGGAUAAUGUUUCAUAAUUGAAUCGGCUUGGAAAAGUUUUUCAAUUAAAAGAAUAAGAAAAAUGGUUCUUGUUCGCUAUAGGAUAGGAUCGUGGACGAUUAUGGUUGUUGGUGAGGUAACGGCUCACCAAGCCGAUAAUCGAUAGGGGCCGUGAGAGCGGGAGCCCCGAGAUGGGUACUGAGACAACGACCCAGGCCUUACGAGGCGCAGCAGGCGCGAAACCUCCGCAAUACACGAAAGUGUGACGGGGUUACCCAAAGUGUUCAUUAGAACUGUGGUAGGUGAGUAAUGUUCCCUACUAGAAAGGAGAGGGCAAGGCUGGUGCCAGCCGCCGCGGUAAAACCAGCUCUUCAAGUGGUCGGGAUAAUUAUUGGGCUUAAAGUGUCCGUAGCCGGUUUAGUAAGUUCCUGGUAAAAUCGGGUAGCUUAACUAUCUAUAUGCUAGGAAUACUACUAUACUAGAGGGCGGGAGAGGUCUGAGGUACUACAGGGGUAGGGGUGAAAUCUUAUAAUCCUUGUUGGACCACCAGUGGCGAAGGCGUCAGACUGGAACGCGCCUGACGGUGAGGGACGAAAGCCAGGGGAGCGAACCGGAUUAGAUACCCGGGUAGUCCUGGCCGUAAACGAUGCAUACUAGGUGAUGGCACGGCCAUGAGCCGUGUCAGUGCCGUAGGGAAACCGUUAAGUGUGCCGCCUGGGAAGUACGGUCGCAAGGCUAAAACUUAAAGGAAUUGGCGGGGGAGCACCACAAGGGGUGAAGCCUGCGGUUCAAUUGGACUCAACGCCGGU